rnacentral:rRNA from 1 species
CGCGUAGGCGGAAGAGAAAGUGUUUUGUGAAAGCCCCCGGCUUAACCGGGGAAUUGCUUAGCAAACUUCUCUUCUUGAGAUAAGUAGGGGUACAUGGAACUCUUGGUGGAGCGGUGGAAUGUGUAGAUAUCAAGAGGAACGCCAAAGGUGAAGACAGUGUACUGGGCUUAUUCUGACGCUGAGGUGCGAAAGCGUGGGGAGCGAACAGGAUUAGAUACCCUGGUAGUCC